rnacentral:lncRNA from 1 species
UUAUUCUCUACCUGAAAAAGUUUUGAAAAACAGAUUUUGAGCAUCAUUUUUACUGCAUAAAAGUUCCCUUUUCUACGAAGAUUUCAGAUUUCAGAAAAUCUUAGAAAAUUUCCAAAACUUCCCUCUUUUGUUCACAAGAUAGAAAUGGUUUGAAAGAGAGAAUUGGGGUUAUUCAUAUGAGAUUAUGGUUUGGAAAGCUGAUUGAAUUUGGUUCAGAUUCUAGGACUCAUUUGGUUGUUGUAGCUGUAUUAGUUUACUGUUGUUUCUGCCUUUCUUCUAAAGUUUUCAGCAGUUUCUUUCAUCUUGUUUGUUGUUUUUCUAUUUCUG